ACCUGCUCCCGUCUGUGUGCGGCCAGUCUCUUUGCAAAUCCAACCAAAUACUAGUUCGGGAAAGCACGGGGGGCUCACGGCCCACUUCAGAGGCAGGGUUUACACCAUCAGCCAAAGACAGACAGCAUGGAAGGUGUUGAAGAGCUAAGCAAUUUCCCCGGCCUUGGCCAGGGCCUAAUAAAAGCCCCAAGGCAGCCCUCGCGGUGAGAAGACAACGACGGACUUCAUCCCCAUUAAGAGAAAGUAAUUUUCCUAAAGCAGUGACAAAGAACUUUGUUAGCACCCGGCGUUUGCGUUCAGCUCAGUUUCUGCUCUGAGCAUUAUGUGGCCCGGAAGAAAGAGCAGGAUUCUCUGGCGUGCGCGUAGCAUGUGUGUACGUGUAUAUAAUAUAUAUAGCAAUCCAAGUAAGGAUCUUUGAAGACACAACACAGAUGAGUUCAUCGCCUUUUACAUGUUUGUUUCCUGUUCCUCCAAAUCCAUCAUUCCUGGUUCCAUCAGAGUUUAUGUGAAAAAUAACUGGAGUUUUAGUAGACUUCGAGCUGUAAAUAGGAAGCAACAAUGUGAAAUGGCUGCUAACUUAAGCUUGAGCUUCACGAACGGAAUUCUCGUUUUCCAAGACAAAGGGGAGGAUGUCACAAGUCCAUCUAGCUUCCCCUCUGGAGCUUGAGGACCCCUGUAAAGAAAUAGAGGGCAAGCAUUUGGGAGGAGCUUGUGAAUUCACCGUAUGUCCAACCCCAAGGCGUAGGUCUGGGUCCAGCCAGGCCAUUCAGAGGCUGUGGCUUUGGGGACAAAUGAGAGGUAAAGCCAGAAGGUGAGUGGGAUUCUCUAAUGUGGAAGCCUGAUGUGUUAGGCUGGAAACCUCUACUUAGAUUGAAAGGUAAGAGGGAGCCAUGGAAAGUUUUAGAGCAUGACAGUCACAUUAUGGGGGGUGGCUUCCCAGCUACACUUUAAUGGGAUGUGACAACACCAGAGCCCUUCAGAAGCAUCCCUACCCCCUGAGAGGAGACCCCAAUUUCGAUUCCCAGUUCUAACUCAUAGCAGCUUCAAGAGUCUCUUCAUGGGGCACCUGGGUGGUUCAGUCCAUUAAGCAUCUGACUCUUGAUUUCCCCGUUUGUGUUCUCCCUCUCUCUCUCAAAACAAAUGAGUAAACUUUUUUUUUUUUUUUUUAAGUCUCUUCAUUCCUGACCUCAACUCCCCAGUCUGUAAAGUGGAAGCCUCACUUCAGGGUCUGAGAGAACCCCAGUGGUUAGCAAUUCGAUGGAGGUGGGGCAGAACUGGAGAGGAAUGUGAGGAAAGAGAGAGACAGCGAGAGAUCAGCUGCCCUAGAGGACCAAGGAAGGCACCAAAUUCUUUCCUGCACCCACCACCUCCCCGUCCUCCACUGUGACUCAGGCAAGCCCUUGAACCCCUUGGUUCCUCAUCUCCCAAUCAAUGUGAGAUAGUCAAGCACGGCAAUGGAGGAGAGGAAUGGACAGCUCUUCACAGGAAUAGGAAGCACCCCGCAAAUUCAAGCCGAGCCCCACUGCCCAGCCCCAAGGCAACUCUGAUCUUCUGCUUUUUGGAACUCAGUGGCCUGGAAAAUUGUCCCAGAGAUUCUGACUCUGCAGAGUCCUUAUGGAACAGGAUAAGGUGCCCCAACUGAACACACCCCUGCAGGAGCAUACAGAGCACAAAUCAAAGCAGACCUUUGGGAUGAGUGUGUGUGAGUUCAAGGGACUCUUCACUUUACACAAGGACUCGCCUAGCUCUCCUUUUCUGAGACAGCUUGAUGGACAUAGAUAAACCCAGGUUCUGAUCCACCCUUGCCAGCCAACUUUUGACAAUCACUUAAUAUUGAACUUCA